AUGACUUUGAUCUGCGUCCUCAUCUGGACUCUCCUCUGCUGCUGCUUCACAGAGUCCAGAGGACAGAUCACAGUGACUCAGCCUGGAGCAGUGAGCUCUGCUGUGGGAGACACAGUCACCAUCAAGUGUAGGACCAGUCAGAAUGUUCAUGUUUGGAACAACAAUCAGCUUUUAGCCUGGUACCAACAGAAAGAUGGAGGAGUUCCUAAAAUGCUAAUUUACUAUGCUAGCACUCGAUAUUCAGGGAUUCCAGCUCGUUUUACAGGCAGUGGAUCAAACUCUGACUUCACUCUGACCAUCAGUGGAGUCCAGGCUGAAGAUGCAGCAGUUUAUUACUGUCUGAGUGAACACUACAUUAACAGCCAACACGUGUUCACACAGUGAAAAGUCGUCAUACAAAAACCUCUCUCAAGUGCAGAGUUUGAUACAGUUGACUGAGUACACACACUCAAAGAAAUAGACUGGUUUUCAUACCUUAGUGAUGAUAUCUAAUUGACAUAAUGCGUUCCCUAGCUGCUUACUAUAACCUUAACCAUCAAAAGUGAAUGCCUAACCAUAACCUAACUGUAACCCUGACACUAAAACCACUUUUUGAGACUCAAGAAAUGCCUUCAAACUCGUUUGGGACGAGCGUUUUUUCCCCAUAAUUGACUGUUGUUCUCCACAGUAUAGUGGCAUGCCACACGUGUAACACACAUUACAAAAAAAAUUAAAAAAAACAAAAACUUGUGGGGAACCCCCUCCAAAUAUCACUGUUGGUGUUUCUGGA